AUGCCCAUUCUCUUGUCACUACAGUCGUUCAAGAGGCUAACACAAAAGGGUAAAGGGAAUCUACACAAAACCCACAGAAAAGAUGGCAAACCUCCUCUCUGGAUUCUAUCUGGAGUCAUAGAU